ACUCCCAACCCCUGUGAACAUACCUUAAUGUUGCCUCGGCGGAUCAGCCCGCGCCCCGUAAAACGGGACGGCCCGCCAGAGGACCCAAACUCUAAUGUUUCUUAUUGUAACUUCUGAGUAAAACAAACAAAUAAAUCAAAACUUUCAACAACGGAUCUCUUGGUUCUGGCAUCGAUGAAGAACGCAGCAAAAUGCGAUAAGUAAUGUGAAUUGCAGAAUUCAGUGAAUCAUCGAAUCUUUGAACGCACAUUGCGCCCGCUGGUAUUCCGGCGGGCAUGCCUGUUCGAGCGUCAUUUCAACCCUCAAGCCCCCGGGUUUGGUGUUGGGGAUCGGCUCUGCCUUCUGGCGGUGCCGCCCCCGAAAUACAUUGGCGGUCUCGCUGCAGCCUCCAUUGCGUAGUAGCUAACACCUCGCAACUGGAACGCGGCGCGGCCAUGCCGUAAAACCCCAACUUCUGAAUGUUGACCUCGGAUCAGGUAGGAAUACCCGCUGAACUUAAGCAUAUC
rnacentral:rRNA from 1 species